rnacentral:rRNA from 1 species
GAUGAACGCUGGCGGCGUGCCUAAUACAUGCAAGUCGAGCGAACAGACGAGGAGCUUGCUCCUUUGACGUUAGCGGCGGACGGGUGAGUAACACGUGGGUAACCUACCUAUAAGACUGGGAUAACUUCGGGAAACCGGAGCUAAUACCGGAUAAUAUUUCGAACCGCAUGGUUCGAUAGUGAAAGAUGGCUUUGCUAUCACUUAUAGAUGGACCUGCGCCGUAUUAGCUAGUUGGUAAGGUAACGGCUUACCAAGGCAACGAUACGUAGCCGACCUGAGAGGGUGAUCGGCCACACUGGGACUGAGACACGGUCCAGACUCCUACGGGAGGCAGCAGUAGGGAAUCUUCCGCAAUGGGCGAAAGCCUGACGGAGCAACGCCGCGUGAGUGAUGAAGGUCUUCGGAUCGUAAAACUCUGUUAUUAGGGAAGAAUAAACGUGUAAGUAACUGUGCACGUCUUGACGGUACCUAAUCAGAAAGCCACGGCUAACUACGUG